AUAAACUUUACUUUUUGCAUCUUUAGAUGCAUUUUCCCCUUAUUUUUACUGUUCCAACUCUCAUCCUAAGUGCAAAGAAAGUAAUCAUUUGUUCAUUAUUCGCACCUCCAAUUUGAGUUAAAGGAAAAUGAGAACAUAGUCACGGUAUGCUGCUCAUCUGCAAUCUGAGGUGCUGCCUGAGUUGGUGCCCUUUUCUUUCUUAAAAUUAGGUACUGUCUCUGAAAAUCUCUUGCCACUAUUCUGUGUAAAUAGACACAUGCCGAUCCCAGUAAUUCUGAUGCAACUUUUGAUCUACUACUAUUGCAGAAAGACCAGUGAAGGCUAGGCUGCAACCCUCCAAAUUUAAAAGAUCUUUUCCACUGUGCUUCUGAAAAUUUUGAUAUUGAGAUAUACUCUUCACCUUGGAGAAAAAUCCGUUUCGUGCUUUCAAGAGAAUUAUAUACAUGCAUAUGACUAAACAUUCUCCAAUUUGAAUCACUUCCUCAACUGAUGUUGUUAGAUUAUUUAUUUUAUAUUCUUCGAAUUUUAUUUGUAUUUUAUUAGCAAAAUUGAUGUGAUUAAGGAGUUUUUUACACUUUUCCUGUGUAUUUUCCUUGCAGGCAAAUGGACCCUUAGGCAAAGUGGAUGGAUGGAAGAGAUGGUGGUGAUGCGAACUUGUUCAUACCAUCUUGGCUGGUUUAUCUCAUGUGUAAAUAAUGACUAAGGAGGGAAAACUUCCUUUUGCUUUCAAGCCAGAAAAGUUACUUGUCAAAAUAAUUAUGUUUUUAAUUUUGUUUUAUUCAGCGCCAAACAUGCCUAUCUUAAUGAAGUAGGUAUUAUGUGCAUGAUAACUAUGUAUUUCGUGUUUGCGAUGCUAAUUAAAUUGUUGAUAAGAAAAUACUUGACACUUUCAUAUAGUACUUUAAUACCCAAUGAAAAAGAAAGUGUCUUAUGUGAGUUCUGUUUUUGGCUGGUGCGUAACUCUUAUUUCAAGGCCAGUGUAUGAGGCUGCUUAUUUGUAUGUUUCAUUCGAUAGCUUACGUCUGCAUUUUGGUUGAUGGCCUUGGAGUAAAGCAAAUACAUGGAUUUCUUUCUGAAGACUUUUAUUCAAAGAAAAACUAGGGUCAGUGAGUUCUUGCUAUGUAUGUGUGUUCUUUAUUUACUUAAAGCAUUUGGAUUAAUAGUGAGUAUUUUACACAUUGAAUGUAGAACUCCCAUGUAACAUUUUUAUGUCAAUUUUAGUUCUGGUGCUAUGUCAACCUUGAUUUGAUGUGUGAAGCCCAUGCCCAGACCUAUGUAAUGACAAAAGUCAUGAAAUUGAUGCAAAAUAGGUAAAAAUGGAAACUAAAUGAGUUGAAGAGAUGUGAGAGUUUGGUCUAUAAUGGAUUGGAAGAAGUAUAAGGAGGCAAGUGAAAGGAACAGGGGUUAUUGGCUUGAGGAUGCAGUGGAAAUCUCAUGUAGUAAGAGCUUUAAUUAUUAGUAUAGAUUCUAUUUAAUAGGAACUUCGGUUGGUUAUUGAAAUUAAUGACCUUACAGGGAUAUAAUGGUAUCCUUUGCAAACUUGUCUUAACAGAUUUAUAAAUAUGUCUUCACAGUUUUUCAUCUCAAUUAUUUGCUUGUCCUUUUUUCUUUUUUGGGUUAAAAAGAAGCAUUCCCGAGAGGGGGAAAGAAUGAUCGAUGCCUUGUAUAUUUUGCAAAGAAAGACACUGGGACUUGCAUUUUGAUAUGUCAUAUGAAUGAUUUAGCAGUCAUUUAUUGUGCUGCUUCUUGUUUCAUUUUGCUUACAUGAGGUUUGCCCUAUGCAACUACCAUGAUAAUCCUGCAGAGCUGUCGAACGAGUUGUGCAGGUCCAUUUGUGCUCCUUCCAUCCAUUGCUAAUAUUUGCCGUUCAUUUAACAGAAAAUUCCGGAUCACAUUGAUGAAAAAUUAGUUGAGCAUCGCACUCCAGACAUUGUUCUUACAAGUGGAACUAGAGUUUACAGUAUUGGAAACAGGAAAGAUAGAUUUCAUCGAAAAUGGAGCGACUUUGUUGCAGAUCAUAACCUCCAAGAUGGAGACAUUCUACUCUUUCUUCCUCAAUCUCACACUUUGUUUGCUUUGUUAAUCUUUGAAACCAAUGGAAUAGAAAUUAUUUACCCCUGGCAUCACACGUUCAUGAUUUAAAUAUUAUGUUUGUAGAUUCUGAAUUAUCAGUGAAAUUGGUCGUCCGAUGUAA